rnacentral:rRNA from 1 species
UCAAGCGAAGAAGAGCGCAGGGUGGAUGCCUUGGCACUGAGAGCCGAUGAAAGACGUGAUAAGCUGCGAAAAGCUUCGGGGAGGAGCAAAUAUCCAUUGAUCCGGAGAUAUCUGAAUGGGGAAACCCGGCAGAGAAGACCUCUGUCAUCCAUACGCCAAUCCAUAACGUAUGGAAGGGAACCUGGUGAACUGAAACAUCUAAGUAGCCAGAGGAAAAGAAAGAAAACUCGAUUCCUUGAGUAGCGGCGAGCGAAAGAGGAGGAGCCUAAACCGGAAUGCGUGCAUUCCGGGGUUAUGGACUGCAUUCGUGAUCAGAAUCGAUAAGGGAACGGUUUUGGGAAAGCCGGCCGGAGAGGGUGAAAGCCCCGUACCUGAAAUCCUGACUGAGACAGCAGUAUCCGGAGUACCACGAGACACGUGGAACCUUGUGGGAAGUCGGGGGGACCACCCCCCAAGGCUAAAUACUACUCAGUGACCGAUAGCGCAUAGUACUGUGAAGGAAAGGUGAAAAGGACCCCGGGAGGGGAGUGAAAGAGAACCUGAAACCCUGUGUUUACAAACUGUGGGAGCACUUUAUAUGUGCGACCGCGUACUUUUUGUAGAACGGUCCAGCGAGUUGCGCUGGCUGGCAAGGUUAAGGACUAAAGGUCCGGAGCCGGAGGGAAACCAAGUCUUAAGAGGGCGCCAUAGUCAGUCGGAGCAGACCCGAAACCGGGUGAUCUAUCCAUGUCCAGGAUGAAGCUGCCGUAAGAGGUAGUGGAGGUCCGAACGCACAUCCGUUGAAAAGGGUGGCGAUGAGGUGUGGAUAGGGGAGAAAUUCCAAUCGAACCCGGAGAUAGCUGGUUCUCCUCGAAAUAGCUUUAGGGCUAGCCUCGUGUUAAUCUGAUGGAGGUAGAGCACUGAAUUUCCUAGGGGGCGUCAAAGCUUACCGAAGAAUAUCAAACUCCGAAUGCCAUACAGAUGAUGCACGGGAGUCAGACUGCACGAGAUAAGUUGGGCAGUCAAAAGGGAAAGAGCCCAGACCUGCAGCUAAGGUCCCAAAGUGCGUGUUAAGUGGAAAAGGAUGUGGGAAUUCAAAGACAACCAGGAUGUUGGCUCAGAAGCAGCCAUACAUUCAAAGAGUGCGUAAUAGCUCACUGGUCGAGAGUUCCUGCGCCGAAAAUGUCCGGGGCUGAAACACGACACCGAAGCUCAGGAAUCACGAUAGUGAUUGGUAGAGGAGCAUUCCUGACCGGCGAAGCCGUACCGAAAGGAGCGGUGGAGGGACAGGAAGAGAGAAUGCUGGAAUGAGUAGCGAGAACAGGGUGGGAAUCCCUGUGGCCGAAUAUCCAAGGUUUCCGGAGUAAAGCUGAUCUGCUCCGGGUAAGUCGGGGCCUAAGGAGAGGCUGAAAAGCGUAUCCGAUGGACAACAGGUAGAAAUUCCUGUACUGCAGUAAGACAGAACUGUAGGGACACGUGUGGAGAGCACAGGCGCGGAAUGGAAAGCCGCGUGCAAGCGGGGUAGGAGAUGUAUAGGAAAAACCGUACAUCAAUCCGAAGACGUGAUGCGGACCGAAAAAGAGUAGGGAAGUGUGUGAGCCAUGCGUCAAGAAAAGCUGCUAUUGUUCUUACUGUACCCGUACCGUAAACCGACACAGGUGGAUGAGGAGAGAAUCCUAAGGCCGGCGGAAGAAGCAUUGUUAAGGAACUCGGCAAAAUGACCCUGUACUUCGGGAGAAAGGGUGCCCUCGUAAGAGGGCCGCAGAGAAUAGGCUCAAGCAACUGUUUAGCAAAAACACAGGUCUAUGCAAAACCGUAAGGUGAGGUAUAUGGGCUGACGCCUGCCCGGUGCUGGAAGGUUAAGAGGAGAGGUUAGCGAAAGCGAAGCUUUGAAUUUAAGCCCCAGUAAACGGCGGCCGUAACUAUAACGGUCCUAAGGUAGCGAAAUUCCUUGUCGGGUAAGUUCCGACCCGCACGAAAGGCGUAAUGAUUUG